rnacentral:rRNA from 1 species
GACGAACGCUGGCGGCGUGCUUAACACAUGCAAGUCGAACGGAAAGGCCCUGCUUUUGUGGGGUGCUCGAGUGGCGAACGGGUGAGUAACACGUGAGUAACCUGCCCUUGACUUUGGGAUAACUUCAGGAAACUGGGGCUAAUACCGGAUAGGAGCUCCUGCUGCAUGGUGGGGGUUGGAAAGUUUCGGCGGUUGGGGAUGGACUCGCGGCUUAUCAGCUUGUUGGUGUGGUAGUGGCUUACCAAGGCUUUGACGGGUAGCCGGCCUGGGAGGGUGACCGGCCACAUUGGGACUGAGAUACGGCCCAGACUCCUACGGGAGGCAGCAGUGGGGAAUAUUGCACAAUGGGCGGAAGCCUGAUGCAGCAACGCCGCGUGCGGGAUGACGGCCUUCGGGUUGUAAACCGCUUUCGCCUGUGACGAAGCGUGAGUGACGGUAAUGGGUAAAGAAGCACCGGCUAACUACGUG